GGUAGCCGGCCUGAGAGGGCGACCGGCCACACUGGGACUGAGACACGGCCCAGACUCCUACGGGAGGCAGCAGUGGGGAAUAUUGGGCAAUGGAGGAAACUCUGACCCAGCGACGCCGCGUGCGGGAUGAAGGCCUUCGGGUUGUAAACCGCUUUCAGUAGGGAAGAAGCGAAAGUGACGGUACCUACAAAAGAAGCACCGGCUAACUAUGUGCCAGCAGCCGCGGUAAUACAUAGGGUGCAAGCGUUGUCCGGAAUUAUUGGGCGUAAAGAGCUCGUAGGUCGUUUGUUACGUCGGAUGUGAAAACCUGAGGCUCAACCUCAGGCCUGCAUUCGAUACGGGCAAACUAGAGUUUGGUAGGGGA
rnacentral:rRNA from 1 species